ACUUUGACCGGCUGCUUUGUCCACGAGGGAGGUGUGGAGGGAGGUAGGGAGGCAGGGAGGGGGAGAUGAGAGGGCAAACGCACACACACAUACACACACAUAAAAAUAAAAUAAAAAAUAAAAUAAACAACAACAGAAUGGAUUUCAAUGACGGUACUCAACAUGCAUGCAAAACAAUAAAAUGGAAUGUACGGCAAACAUCAAAUCAUCAUGAAAUGAGAAGUAGAUAAUGGAUGAAUAUUGAACACAAAUGGCUAGCUUCCGUUUCGAAAACACUGUUUUUCGUUCCAAUACACACAUGAUCUAACACGUUUCCUCAUGUGAUGGCCGGCCGGCCGGUGGCGUAGUCGAAAGCCGUUUGAACAUUUGGUUUUUGAUAUCCAAAGAAAAUGUUACGAACGGGACAAAACCCGUCUACUAGUCCUGUCUAGUCAUUUGACUAGUGUGGAGAAUUUCUUGAACGAGUAAGGACAAAGAGUGUUCUAGUCCAUGGACCUGAACCCUUUCAUGCACCUCGUAACCUGAAAAUCUGUCCAUUGUGGUAGCCUCUGUCCCUGAA